rnacentral:rRNA from 1 species
AUAAGUACCCAUAGCACCCUGACAACAGCCAAUCUCAUCUGAUCUGGGAAGCUAAGCAGGGUCAGCCCUGGUCAGUACUUGGAUGGGAGACCACCCGUGAAACCAGGGUUCUGUGAC